UUUGUCUACUUGACUUCGUGGUAAAGCUUAAUUGAUGUUGCUAUGCGGUUUGCAUUUGGAGUGAUUGAGUUGUUGUGGUUGUAACGUCUUGUACAUGAAAUGAAGGGCCAAAAAAGUAGGCAUCAAUAAUACUGCAAAGGUUUUGCAUUCUCAGUGUUUGUCUCUGUUACCAAGAGAAAAAGAUAUGCUAGUGGUACAAUGACCGAGGAUCAGGCCCUCCCCUAAUUUGUCAAAUGCACGUGGAGAAGGAACGCCGACGAGAAAGGAUUGUUGCUUCACGCAGUGAUUAUAGUGCUGAUCAUAAUGACCUUUGCGAUGAUAAAACGAUGCUCAAGAUGC